GUGUAGCAAUACAUGAGUACAGCGGCGCACGGGUGAGUAACACGUGGAUAACCUGCCUCAAAGUGGGGAAUAACACCGGGAAACCGGUGCUAAUACCGCAUAUUCUGAUGAGAUCUGUGGAUUUUGUCAGUAAAGGAGCAAUUCGCUAUGAGAGGGGUCCGCGGCUGAUUAGCUAGUUGGUGAGGUAAUGGCUCACCAAGGCAACGAUCAGUAGCCGGUCUGAGAGGACGGUCGGCCACACUGGAACUGAGACACGGUCCAGACUCCUACGGGAGGCAGCAGUGGGGAAUUUUUCGCAAUGGGGGCAACCCUGACGAAGCAAUGCCGCGUGGAUGAUGAAGUAUUUCGGUACGUAAAAUCCUUUCGACAGGGACGAAACCGCAAGGUUGACGGUACCUGUAGAAGAAGCCCCGGCUAACUCCGUGCCAGCAGCCGCGGUAAUACGGGGGGGGCAAGCGUUGUUCGGAAUUACUGGGCGUAAAGGGUGCGUAGGCGGCUUUCUAAGUUGGAUGUGAAAACUAUGGGCUCAACCCAUAGCCUGCAUCCAAAACUGGAGAGCUUGGGUUCUGGAGGGGAAAGCGGAAUUCCUGGUGUAGCGGUGAAAUGCGUAGAUAUCAGGAGGAACACCGGUGGCGAAGGCGGCUUUCUGGACAGACACCGACGCUGAGGCACGAAAGCUAGGGGAGCAAACAGGAUUAGAUACCCUGGUAGUCCUAGCCCUAAACGACGGAUACUUGCUGUGAGGGGGAUUGAAACCCUUUGUGGCGAAGCUAACGCAUUAAGUAU
rnacentral:rRNA from 1 species